AGCAACCUGCCCUGGACUCUGGGAUAAGCGCUGGAAACGGCGUCUAAUACUGGAUAUGAGACGUGAUCGCAUGGUCGUGUUUGGAAAGAUUUUUCGGUCUGGGAUGGGCUCGCGGCCUAUCAGCUUGUUGGUGAGGUAAUGGCUCACCAAGGCGUCGACGGGUAGCCGGCCUGAGAGGGUGACCGGCCACACUGGGACUGAGACACGGCCCAGACUCCUACGGGAGGCAGCAGUGGGGAAUAUUGCACAAUGGGCGGAAGCCUGAUGCAGCAACGCCGCGUGAGGGAUGACGGCCUUCGGGUUGUAAACCUCUUUUAGCAGGGAAGAAGCGAAAGUGACGGUACCUGCAGAAAAAGCGCCGGCUAACUACGUGCCAGCAGCCGCGGUAAUACGUAGGGCGCAAGCGUUAUCCGGAAUUAUUGGGCGUAAAGAGCUCGUAGGCGGUUUGUCGCGUCUGCUGUGAAAUCCCGAGGCUCAACCUCGGGCCUGCAGUGGGUACGGGCAGACUAGAGUGCGGUAGGGGAGAUUGGAAUUCCUGGUGUAGCGGUGGAAUGCGCAGA
rnacentral:rRNA from 1 species